rnacentral:rRNA from 1 species
CUCAGGAUGAACGCUGGCGGCGUGCCUAACACAUGCAAGUCGAGCGGAGAUACAUGUCUAAGAGAUUUCGGUCGAAUUAAUUGUAUCUUAGCGGCGGAUGGGUGAGGAACGCGUGGAGAACCUGCCCUUCACAAGGGGAUAACAGCUGGAAACGGCUGUUAAUACCACAUAUGCUCACAGGAUCGCAUGAUCCAGGGAGGAAAGCCGAGACGGUGAAGGAUGGCUCCGCGUCGGAUUAGCCAGUUGGCGGGGUAACGGCCCACCAAAGCGAUGAUCCGUAGCCGGCCUGAGAGGGCGACCGGCCACAUUGGGACUGAGACACGGCCCAAACUCCUACGGGAGGCAGCAGUGGGGGAUAUUGCACAAUGGGGGAAACCCUGAUGCAAGCGACGCCGCGUGAAGGAGGAAGUGCUUCGGCAUGUAAACUUCUAUCAGCAGGGAAGAAGAUGACGGUACCUGACUAAGAAGCCCCGGCUAACUACGUGCCAGCCGCCGC